UUCACCUUGGCAAAGCUUCCUAUACAAACCUGUGAUCAUAUGCCUUUGUUUUCUCACUUCAGGUACAAGAGAGGUGAGCACAAGAUGGGCCAAAUAUGAGAUGUGGAAUCAGGAAAAACAGAAAAAGUGGAAGAAAUGGCAAACGUGGACGUGAGAGCAGCUGGGUUUUCUAGCUCUGGGCGUCUGCAGGAAUCAUGUUCCAGGAAGGGCUGGGAGAGGCUGCGGGGAAAAGGAAGGGGUGCAGGGGAGUGUGCCCCACCCUUGCCCUGUGCCUGCAGGUGGGCCGGACUUGGACCCUGCCUGGAUGAUCUGCGAAGAAAUAGGGUUCCAAAAGGGCAGAUCCCAAGACAAUGCCUUAUAAAGGUCCUGGCUAACGUUUCCAUGGCAGCUUGCUGAGUGGCCGAGCUGAUCUCAGCCCUUCCAGGGGUGACUCAUUGACUCCUCCCAAGCUGGAGAGGUGAGAGUUCUUUUCCGGUUUACAUAUCAGGAAGCUGAGGCAUGGAAAGGUGAGGUGAUUUGUCCCGGGUUACACCUUCAGGAGGUGGUAGAGGCAAGGUUUUAUUCAUUUGUUAGGAUGAUCCACGUUUUUAACCACCUGCCAGUCAUCCCGGGGUAGAAAGCUCAGACUUCCUCUUAGCAGCAGACUUUUCUAGCCUUGUUUUCUCACUGGCAAAGAGGGGAUCACAGGGCUUAACUCACUGUGAUGAUGGAAGGACUCACAUGAGCUAUUUUAUGAAAGCUGUUAGGAAGCCUGGGACGUGGUGAGCACUUGAUACCUGGUGGGCGCAGGACUGGACGAGGGAAAACUUGGGCUGAGAGCCCUGUGCUCAGGACACCGUGAGGACACCCGGCAGGUGCAUGGAUGCACUUGGCGAGGCUGGGAGAGGAGUGAUGUUUCACUAAAGACCACUCCCCUUCUUUUCCCUCCACUGACAUCUUCCAGGUAGCUGGAGACCACCCUGGCUGAGCUGUGAUCAGUCGCAUCUAGACUAGUUUGGUGUUUCAGAGCAAGUCUCUCAAAUGCCCUGUGCCUCAAUGCUCUCAUCUGCACGUUGGAAGAAAGAAUUCCUGCUUCCCAGAGCCGUUGGGAGGAGUAACAGAGGUGAAGUGUGUAAAGUACACACGAAAGGAACUCAGCUGACAGCAGCAUCUUCACUGGUACCCUUAUCGUUGUUUUAAUUAUUGCAUUGUCGUCCAAGCUGAUGGACUGAGGGGGGUCAUUCCAGUGGACACGGGGGAGCUGAGCUGUGAGGGUCCUGGAUUGCGUGGGGCCAUGUCUGACCUGCAGAUGCUGCAGAGUUUGGGUCGAGUUACACGUGGAAUUGGGGAAUCCCCACUGAAGGGCGCUCUCUGGCCUUUUAGUGGCCACGGUUUGCAAUUUCUUGAGCCAGGGUCACCCUGAACAUUCAUUUCAAGAAACAGGCUGAUUUCACGUAGCUUCUUUCUGACUAAUAAAUUCAAACCAUCCUUCUCCUGAAUCCACCUCAGCCUGGGCCUGAGCAACACGUGGCAUGCUGGGUUUGCUCUGAGCACCUGCUCUGGAGACCCAGAGCCUUUGUUGACCUUCUGCUGGUCAAUGGAAGCCCUGCAGUGGAGGCUCCAGGGAGUGUGCACACCGCGCCUUCACCAGCGCUGGGACCCCAGACCCAAAACUCUGAGGGAAUUCCAGCUUGCAUGAGGUUGGGGCACUCAGGAGACAGACCUCCUGGGCUCCAGGGGCUUUGCAGGCUGCUGGCCAGUGGAAGACCAGCUGCGACCCACUCUCUGCCAGGCUGGGGCUGCACAGAUGCCCAAGGACAGGGCUUCAUGCCUCACACAACUUUCUGAUUAAAAGGCAAUCAAUUAAAAUAAAUCCCUUCGUUUCUAGGGAAGCCCCAUCACACAGGCAUCAUCUGGGCUUGCGUUCUGACAUCAGGGGAAGCUGUGAAAUCACACAGCAAUAAAUAAUAAAGGCUUGAGAUUAAAGUGC